rnacentral:rRNA from 1 species
AUACAUGCAAGUCGAACGCGUCUCCGUUAAUGAUUUUAGGUGCUUGCACUUGAAAGAUUUAACAUUGAGACGAGUGGCGAACUGGUGAGUAACACGUGGGUAACCUGCCCUUGAAGUAGGGGAUAACACUUGGAAACAGGUGCUAAUACCGUAUAACAACCAAAACCACCUGGUUUUGGUUUAAAAGACGGCUUCGGCUGUCACUUUAGGAUGGACCCGCGGCGUAUUAGCUUGUUGGUAAGGUAACGGCUUACCAAGGCGAUGAUACGUAGCCGACCUGAGAGGGUAAUCGGCCACAUUGGGACUGAGACACGGCCCAAACUCCUACGGGAGGCAGCAGUAGGGAAUCUUCCACAAUGGACGAAAGUCUGAUGGAGCAACGCCGCGUGAGUGAUGAAGGGUUUCGGCUCGUAAAACUCUGUUGUUGGAGAAGAACAGGUGUCAGAGUAACUGUUGACAUCUUGACGGUAUCCAACCAGAAAGCCACGGCUAACUACGUGCCAGCAGCCGCGGUAAUACGUAGGUGGCAAGCGUUGUCCGGAUUUAUUGGGCGUAAAGCGAGCGCAGGCGGUUUUUUAGGUCUGAUGUGAAAGCCUUCGGCUUAACCGGAGAAGUGCAUCGGAAACCGGGAGACUUGAGUGCAGAAGAGGACAGUGGAACUCCAUGUGUAGCGGUGAAAUGCGUAGAUAUAUGGAAGAACACCAGUGGCGAAGGCGGCUGUCUGGUCUGUAACUGACGCUGAGGCUCGAAAGCAU